rnacentral:rRNA from 1 species
UACGUAGGGUGCGAGCGUUGUCCGGAAUUAUUGGGCGUAAAGAGCUCGUAGGCGGUCUGUCGCGUCUGCUGCGAAACCCGAGGCUCAACCUCGGCCUGCAGUGGUACGGGCAGACUAGAGUGCGGUAGGGAGAAUGGAAUUCCUGGUGUAGCGGUGGAAUGCGCAGAUAUCAGGAGGAACACCGAUGGCGAAGGCAGGUCUCUGGGCAUUAACUGACGCUGAGGAGCGAAAGCAUGGGAGCGAACAGG